AAUUUUGGGCAAUGGGCGAAAGCCUGACCCAGCAACGCCGCGUGAAGGAUGAAAUCCCUCGGGCUGUAAACUUCGCAAGAACGGGAAGAAUAAGUCUAUGUUAAUACCAUAGGCGAUGACGGUACCGUUUGUAAGCUCCGGCUAACUCCGUGCCAGCAGCCGCGGUAAGACGUAGGGUGCAAGCGUUGUCCGGAUUUACUGGGCGUAAAGAGCGCGUAGGCGGCUCGUUAAGUGUGAAGUGAAAUCUCCAGGGCUCAACCCGGAAACUGCUUCGCAGACUGGCGAGCUUGAGGAAUGCAGAGGUAAGUAGAAUUCCUGGUGUAGCGGUGAAAUGCGUAGAUAUCAGGAGGAAUACCGACGGCGAAGGCAGCUUACUGGGCAUUAUCUGACGCUGAGGCGCGAAAGCGUGGGUAGCAAAC
rnacentral:rRNA from 1 species